rnacentral:rRNA from 1 species
GUGAACGCUGGCGGCGUGCUUAACACAUGCAAGUCGAGCGAUGUUUGACAGCGUAUCGUCAGACAUAGCGGCAGACGGGUGAGUAAUACUUGGGCAAUCUGCCCUUGAGUGGGGGACAACCUGCCGAAAGGCGGGCUAAUACCCCAUAAGACCACAGGGAUGCAUAUCCUAGGGGUCAAAGCUCCGCAAGGGGCGCUUAAGGAGGAGCCCGAGUCCUAUCAUGGUAGUUGGCGGGGUAAUGGCCCACCAAGCCGUUGACGGGUAGCCGGCCUGAAAGGGCAAACGGCCACACUGGCACUGAGACACGGGCCAGACUCCUACGGGAGGCAGCAGUGGGGAAUUUUGGACAAUGGGGGCAACCCGUGAUCCAGCGACGCCGCGUGAAGGAUGAAGGUCUUC